rnacentral:rRNA from 1 species
GGUUAAGCGACUAAGCGUACACGGUGGAUGCCCUGGCAGUCAGAGGCGAUGAAGGGCGUGCUAAUCUGCGAUAAGCGCCGGUAAGGUGAUAUGAACCGUUAUAACCGGCGAUACCCGAAUGGGGAAACCCAGUGUGACUCGUCACACUAUCAUUAACUGAAUCCAUAGGUUAAUGAGGCGAACCGGGGGAACUGAAACAUCUAAGUACCCCGAGGAAAAGAAAUCAACCGAGAUUCCCCCAGUAGCGGCGAGCGAACGGGGAGGAGCCCAGAGCCUGAAUCAGCAUGUGUGUUAGUGGAAGCGUCUGGAAAGGCGCGCGAUACAGGGUGACAGCCCCGUACACAAAAGCGCAUGUGCUGUGAGCUCGAUGAGUAGGGCGGGACACGUGGUAUCCUGUCUGAAUAUGGGGGGACCAUCCUCCAAGGCUAAAUACUCCUGACUGACCGAUAGUGAACCAGUACCGUGAGGGAAAGGCGAAAAGAACCCCGGCGAGGGGAGUGAAAAAGAACCUGAAACCGUGUACGUACAAGCAGUGGGAGCCCCACCACCAAAGCAUUCUCUGGUGUUGAAGGCCCUGCAAAGCAGCAUCGCGGUGGCGGAGCGUCGUUUGCGACGCCCAACACACAAAACAAGCGGUGAGUGCUUUGGGGUGGGGUGACUGCGUACCUUUUGUAUAAUGGGUCAGCGACUUAUAUUCUGUAGCAAGGUUAACCGAAUAGGGGAGCCGGAGGGAAACCGAGUCUUAAUUGGGCGUUAAGUUGCAGGGUAUAGACCCGAAACCCGGUGAUCUAGCCAUGGGCAGGUUGAAGGUUGGGUAACACUAACUGGAGGACCGAACCGACUAAUGUUGAAAAAUUAGCGGAUGACCUGUGGCUGGGGGUGAAAGGCCAAUCAAACCGGGAGAUAGCUGGUUCUCCCCGAAAGCUAUUUAGGUAGCGCCUCGUGAAUUCAUCUCCGGGGGUAGAGCACUGUUUCGGCUAGGGGGCCAUCCCGGCUUACCAACCCGAUGCAAACUGCGAAUACCGGAGAAUGUUAUCACGGGAGACACACGGCGGGUGCUAACGUCCGUCGUGAAGAGGGAAACAACCCAGACCGCCAGCUAAGGUCCCAAAGUCAAUGGUUAAGUGGGAAACGAUGUGGGAAGGCCCAGACAGCCAGGAUGUUGGCUUAGAAGCAGCCAUCA